rnacentral:rRNA from 1 species
AUACGGAGGAUCCGAGCGUUAUCCGGAUUUAUUGGGUUUAAAGGGUGCGCAGGCGGGAGAUUAAGUCGGCGGUGGAAUUUUGCAGCUCAACUGUAAAAGUGCCUUCGAAACUGGUUUCCUUGAGUGUAGAUGAAGUAGGCGGAAUUUGUGGGGUAGCGGUGAAAUGCAUAGAUAUCACGGGGAACUCCGAUUGCGCAGGCAGCUUACUAAACUACUACUGACGCUCAGGCACGAAGGCGUGGGGAUCAAACAGGAUUAGAUACCCUGGUAGUCCACGCAGUAAACGAUGAUUACUAGCUGUUUGCGAUACAAUGUAAGCGGCUGAGCGAAAGCGUUAAGUAAUCCACCUGGGGAGUACGUUCGCAAGAAUGAAACUCAAAUGAAUUGACGGGG